rnacentral:rRNA from 1 species
UACGUAGGGUGCGAGCGUUGUCCGGAAUUACUGGGCGUAAAGAGCUCGUAGGUGGUUUGUCGCGUUGUUCGUGAAAACUCACAGCUCAACUGUGGGCGUGCGGGCGAUACGGGCAGACUAGAGUACUGCAGGGGAGACUGGAAUUCCUGUGUAGGCGUGGAAUGCGCAGAUAUCAGGAGGAACACCGGUGGCGAAGGCGGGUCUCUGGGCAGUAACUGACGCUGAGGAGCGAAAGCGUGGGGAGCGAACAGG